GCUCCAGAUUUCCUCAACGCCUUAAUGGAUAUUUUUGCCUCCUCCAUGCGCCUUUUCUUAAUGAGAAACCUUGGGGUCUCACUAAGAAGGAAAGACAGUAAAAGUAGUGGCAAAGCAAAAAAUCCACUACUGGCAAAGGACCAUCUCCAACCAUUACGGAAGUUGUGAUAUGCUGCCAGGCAAAGCAAAAAAUCCACUACUGGCAAAUGACCAUCUCCAACCAUUACGGAAGUUGUGAUAUGCUGCCAUGCUUACUGCUUUCGUGCUAGU
rnacentral:lncRNA from 1 species